CAAGUGGCAAGUCGAUCUUUAGCUAUUAAAAUUUUUCACCCAAGAAAUAUAUAAUUGUAGAACACAUUCAAGAACGAGCUGAUCAACGUUUUCAUCCGCAACUUUAGCAAGAAACGGUGUUUUGGAACAAGUGCUGCUAUAUUGUAACGUGAUCAAAAUGUCUACUGAUACAUAUGCAGUUGUGGAAUUCCUUGAUAAGAAGUCAGUUGAAGUUGUUCCCAGAAGUUGGAUUGAAGCAUGUGAUGGUCUUUUGUGUUGCUAUUGGCCGAGGACAAACAUCUCAGCUAUGGUAAAGAAGCUGGAAUUGCCAGACAAAAAUGGUUGGAAAAAACAUAAAGUCAGAAUAUUCACAUUUGCAGACAACUAUAAAAGUACCCAAAAGUUUGCUAGAAGACCCAUUGCCACUUCAAUCAUUGAAUGAGAUGAUGAGUCAAUCAACGACAAGCCACGAAAACGUCCUCGUCUCAAAAGGGGUAUGGAAGAAUUUCCAGAUUACAGUGACAUAGAAACUAGGUUAUAUAGUAUUCUAGAUAUUUCUCUCCAAUC